rnacentral:rRNA from 1 species
GACGGUCUUGCUGUCACUUAUAGAUGGAUCCGCGCUGCAUUAGCUAGUUGGUAAGGUAACGGCUUACCAAGGCAACGAUGCAUAGCCGACCUGAGAGGGUGAUCGGCCACACUGGAACUGAGACACGGUCCAGACUCCUACGGGAGGCAGCAGUAGGGAAUCUUCCGCAAUGGGCGAAAGCCUGACGGAGCAACGCCGCGUGAGUGAUGAAGGUCUUCGGAUCGUAAAACUCUGUUAUUAGGGAAGAACAUAUGUGUAAGUAACUGUGCACAUCUUGACGGUACCUAAUCAGAAAGCCACGGCUAACUACGUGCCAGCAGCCGCGGUAAUACGUAGGUGGCAAGCGUUAUCCGGAAUUAUUGGGCGUAAAGCGCGCGUAGGCGGUUUUUUAAGUCUGAUGUGAAAGCCCACGGCUCAACCGUGGAGGGUCAUUGGAAACUGGAAAACUUGAGUGCAGAAGAGGAAAGUGGAAUUCCAUGUGUAGCGGUGAAAUGCGCAGAGAUAUGGAGGAACACCAGUGGCGAAGGCGACUUUCUGGU